rnacentral:rRNA from 1 species
AACGAACGCUGGCGGCAUGCCUAACACAUGCAAGUCGAACGAGACCUUCGGGUCCAGUGGCGCACGGGUGCGUAACGCGUGGGAACCUGCCCUUAGGUUCGGAAUAACUCCCCGAAAGGGGUGCUAAUACCAGAUAAUGUCUUCGGACCAAAGAUUUAUCGCCUUUGGAUGGGCCCGCGUUGGAUUAGCUAGUUGGUAGGGUAAAAGCCUACCAAGGCGACGAUCCAUAGCUGGUCUGAGAGGAUGAUCAGCCACACUGGGACUGAGACACGGCCCAGACUCCUACGGGAGGCAGCAGUGGGGAAUAUUGGACAAUGGGCGAAAGCCUGAUCCAGCAAUGCCGCGUGAGUGAUGAAGGCCUUAGGGUUGUAAAGCUCUUUUACCCGGGAUGAUAAUGACAGUACCGGGAGAAUAAGCUCCGGCUAACUCCGUG